CCUACGGGAGGCAGCAGUGGGGAAUAUUGCACAAUGGGCGCAAGCCUGAUGCAGCCAUGCCGCGUGUAUGAAGAAGGCCUUCGGGUUGUAAAGUACUCUCAGCGGGGAGGAAGGUGUUGUGGUUAAUAACCGCAGCAAUUGGCGUUACCCGCAGAAGAAGCACGGGCUAACUCCGUGCCAGCAGCCGCGGUAAUACGGAGGGUGCAAGCGUUAAUCGAAAUUACUGGGCGUAAAGCGCACGCAGGCGGCCUGUCAAGUCGGAUGUGAAAUCCCCGGGCUCAACCUGGGAACUGCAUUCGAAACUGGCAGGCUAGAGUCUUGUAGAGGGGGGUAGAAUUCCAGGUGUAGCGGUGAAAUGCGUAGAGAUCUGGAGGAAUACCGGUGGCGAAGGCGGCCCCCUGGACAAGGACUGACGCUCAGGUGCGAAAGCGUGGGGAGCAAACAGGAUUAGAUACCCGGGUAGUC
rnacentral:rRNA from 1 species